AAAAAUCUUCUACUGGUGUUGCAAAUAUGAAUAAUGAGACUGCUGCAACAAGCAAAGCCCCUGUUCCAACUAGCGUUUGCUUCAGCAUUUUAAUGACUGGUUUCACCUAGGUAAAUAAAUUCUUUCAGCUUUGUCAAGCUCGUAAUAGGAAAGAUCUACUCUAUUGACAGUUAGAAUAUGAUGUAACCAGCUGAUGAAUUUUAUAGAUCAAUCUGGUACCUUAUAAGAUCCCAACAGCCUAUCCCGAGCUAAGAUCUGCAAGGAAUAAUCACAUUAAAUGUCAUACGUGCAACAUCAUUACAGACUUUUAGAGCUUGGAUUCUGAUAAAUUUUUCAAGAAGUGCAGGUGGCUAUAGACUUUUAGAGCAUGAAUUAUUACAAGUGCGGAACUAAUAUUAGCUUCAUGUAUAGACGUUGUUCCAUCAUGUAGUGUUAUUGUAAAAGAUAAUGCUAUUACUUUCUAGAAGAUCUGUUGCUCAAAGUUUCACGGAAAGAUAACUACAUUUCUAUACCAUGAAAAGUAAGAACCUAUUUUAUUGAAAUCUUUAGUAUAGCUGUUUGUGCUAAGAAGAAAAGGGUAUUGUGCAAGGACUGAUGAUUUAACCAACACAAGGAAGUACAACUUAUUGCUUUCACAUGUAGCUUCAUUUCCCGCGUUUUAUUUGUGAUACCAAAUUUUAAGUCCAUUUCAUGCUAUAUUGGACCAUUUUCACCUCACUGUUAGUCGUUAGGGCUCUGGGCGCUUGCUCUUAUCUAUUAUGUGAUACAAUUCUUGUCAAGCAAUAUUACACCAUUUCCCCCUUGUUGCUAGCUAUGUAUUCUUCAUAUCCAUGAGCACUUGUUAGAUUCAGUUUGUCAAUGAUUAAAGUUCAUAUUGUUAACCUUCUUUUUUUAACAAAAGAGUUCAACUUGACUUACUUUACUUAGAUGUGCUUGAUGUAACUAGUAUAAAUGACCUAUUUUAGUGAACUGGAUUGAAGCUAAUUUAUCCAUUUUGAAGCUGGCAAUAUUUUCCUACUGUGGGAAUGAGGAGGAACAGAGGAAGCAAAGAGAAAGAACCUGUUAAAUAAGUAUGCAAAGGAAAGACCACUAACCUCUG
rnacentral:lncRNA from 1 species